rnacentral:rRNA from 1 species
GAUGAACGCUGGCGGCGUGCUUAACACAUGCCAGUCGAACGAUGAAGCCCAGCUUGCUGGGUGGAUUAGUGGCGAACGGGUGAGUAACACGUGAGUAACCUGCCCUUGACUCUAGGAUAAGCCCGGGAAACUGGGUCUAAUACUGGAUAGGAACGUCUACCGCAUGGUGGGUGUUGGAAAGAAUUUCGGUCAUGGAUGGACUCGCGGCCUAUCAGCUUGUUGGUGAGGUAAUGGCUCACCAAGGCGACGACGGGUAGCCGGCCUGAGAGGGUGACCGGCCACACUGGGACUGAGACACGGCCCAGACUCCUACGGGAGGCAGCAGUGGGGAAUAUUGCACAAUGGGCGAAAGCCUGAUGCAGCGACGCCGCGUGAGGGAUGACGGCCUUCGGGUUGUAAACCUCUUUCAGUAGGGAAGAAGCGAAAGUGACGGUACCUGCAGAAGAAGCACCGGCUAACUACGUG